AGGAAGAAGAAGGUGGCAAAACUGUCUACAUGGUAACAGCCUGGAGAACUUAUUGACAGCCUUUUUCAAGACAUUUCAGUCUUCUCUAUAGGAUGCCAGUCAAUCACCUACGGAAAGGAAAUGUUCACAGGGCAAGCAAUGGACUAAAAGAAAAGGAAAGAAAAGCAAUACUUGUGCUGCAGAUAUCAUGACGGGUUCAUCUUCUGCUAGAGGCCAGAGAGGCAAAAGCAUGACUUUUCAGAAAAAGCAAGACUUACGAAAACCAAAGAAUGCUGUUGCACUGCUAAACAAGAUGAGCUCCAAGGUCUACGGAAUCUGGGCACAGAGGUAUGAUCACUUUGGGAGUUCUUGAAGAUCUGGACCUGACAGGGUCCGGCCCCUGCAACCAUGAAAACCGUAGUAUUCCAAGACACUAUCCACACAUCACUUAAUUGGAAACUCUACAAAAUGUAUGGUGGCGUCGUGAGGCUGUGUCCUUGUCUAGGAAUUUCCCUGUCAAGGCUAAGAAUUUUGGGAUGAGACUGUGAUUGGCAGGGGACCAGAGUGAUUGACCCUUAUCACCAGGGGCCCUUGAUAGCCCAUGGCAUUAAGUUUUAUUUCUGUGUUCAAUGUGCAAAUCGUUAAAGGCCAAGCCAGCAGGAUUGUAUAAUACCAGCAUUUCUUAUGGCUGUGGGAGGGGAAGAGGGAAUAGUUGCUUUUGCAGUGUUUCCUUAAGUAUAUGUGGACAUGGGGUGGCUGUCUGAAAAUUGCUCUUGUUCUUUCAGUCAGCAGAGAAGGGAACAUUUGUGUCCAGAACAGCAUCUUACCCUUGAUACACUUCUCCCUCAGUCCUGCCCACCAUUUGCCCUCUUCAAAUGGUUUUUGUUGUGGCAAUGCCGUGAUGAUUUCCAAGUCCACUGUGCCACAAACAGCAAGAGAUAAAAUAGCUUCUAUAUCAAAGUAUUCUUCCUUUCUGUCAGACACCUUGCUGUCCUUCUUCCAGGAGGAAGUCUUGGCGCGGCAUGGAGGAUAGAAUAUGGCUGAAAUUAAAUUUCUCUGCAGUUCAGGGCUUCUGGUUAGUCCUUGUGAUGUGAACAUCACAUUCAGACCUCCCUCUAUUUCUGCCAUACAUGAAUGGAGGGAAAGAGACCACAGGGGAGCACUGCAUGUGCAAGGGAACUCUCUUCGCUUCUAAACAUUUUCAUGUCUCCUUAUCUAAAGAAAUACAAGUAUGUGUACUUUACGCUUUCCUACUUUUGUGUGUUCAGGUUCUCUAUCUGAGAAGUAACUGUUUUAGGGCCAAUAGUUUUCUCAUCCUGAAGAUGGGAUUCUGUGUCCUAGAUAAGUUACUGGCACACUGCUUCUAGGAUUUCUCAGUGAGAAUCCAUUAGUGUGAAAGUGACUAAAGUUUAGCCUCUAAACUGUCUUAUUGUCCCUUCUAGCUUGAGUUCAAACAACACCACUCCUUAGUACCUGCAUAGUUUUGGGCCAAAUCACAAGACUUCUAAUUUACUAAUUCACCUUGUUUAUGACAGGAAAAGAUUGGAUUAAGUGUUCCCUAAACUGGUUUUUUCCUUUGGUUCGAAGUUUACUAUAUACUCCUUGUCUGUGGUUUGAAGACAAGAUGUCAUGAAAAUAAGGGUAGCCAAAUGUUUCAUAUAUUAAUGUCAUAGAUAAUGGUGACUGCAUAAGUGGAAGCAAGUUGCCUUAACUUUCCAGAGAUGUUAGGGACUGCUCUCUUUUCUUACCUUUACAUUCUUCCUUCCAACCCUUGUUUUGGGGGUUAUUACUUCAUGUACUAAUUAUACAACUAAGAAUAGGAAAGUUUGUUGUACUUGGUCAUUCUCUUAUUCAGAGGAGUUAAGGCUAUCAAGUUCCUCUAACAUUUAGCAGUUCUCCAUUAAUAAGCCAAAUGGUUCACGCCCCCUGCACUUUUAAAGGUCAAGCAGAAAAACCUGAGAUCCUCAAGUAGAGGCCCACCAGUAUCAGUGAAACCUUCAGACAUCUUGUAUUUCUGGGAAGAUACAGCUUUUUAAUAUUUGGGACUUGUUCUGUUCUUCAGGAGAAAAUUAAAUUUUUUUCGAGUUGGAGUCAAUUUUGACAGGCCUCCAUUUAUUAAGUCAAAUGGCUCACACUCCUGCCCUUUGACAAUUCAGGCCAAAGUGAUUUGGUUCCUGAAUUAGAAACCACAAUUUCAAGGAGAAUCCUUGAUUAAGUCUAGUAUUUCCAGGAAGUGACAGCUUUAUAAUACUGGAAAUUUCUUCUUCAUGAAAAGAACAGGUUCUUUUGACAUUGAGACACAUUUAGCAGUCCACAACUUCUUAAAGGGAAAUGGAGAAACAACUUUACAAUAUUGGCAGUUGUGUUUCCUUAAGAACAGGUUCUUUCAACAUUCAUUCAAAUUUCACAGUCUGUCAUUUCUUAAAUCAAAUGGUCUAGACAUUAGGUAUCAAGUAGCUGAUUGUCUCAAUGAGAGAUCAACAGAUGAAAGACAAUGCUUGACAUAUCUUGUGUUUCCUGGUAGAGAUUUCUUUCUGGUAUUGGGGAUUUGGUCUUCAGAACACUUAAGGCUUUGCAUUUCAUCUCCAAUUUAACAGUCCUCAAUUUCAUAAGGCAAAUCCUGAAAACUGCUGCCUUUUCAAAGUUCAAGCAAAAGGGCCCUAUUUUCUGAAUUAAAGGUCUCCAGUUUCAGGGAAAUUUAAAAUGACCUCUAUUCACUAGGAAAGAUAGCUUUUUGGUAUUUUGGAAUUUUGCUUCUUGAGAAAAACAGAACCCUUCCAGUUCCAUUGAACUUUAGCAGUCAGUCACUUCUGAAGUCAAAUGGGAACAACUUCAGACUCAAGUGGCUGAGUACCUCCACUAUAGACUACCCAUUCAGGGAGAAAUUUUGAGAUAUCUUACAUUUUUUGGGAGAGAUAGCAUUUUGAGAUUUUAGAAUUGUUCUUCUUGAGAAGAAUGUAUUCUUUGAAGUUCCACUGAACUUUAGCAGUCCAAGACUUCUUAAAUCAAAGGGAUACACUCCUCCCCUUCAAUACUUAAUACAAAAGUGCUUGAGCUGUUGAAGUAUACACCACCCUGUCAAGGAAAAUCUUUCAGAUGUCUUUUAUUUUUAGUGAUAGAGAUAGCAUUUUGGGAUUUUGGAACUGUUCUUUUGAGAAGAAACGAAUCUUUACAAUUCUAAAAACUUUUAGCAGUCCGCCAAUUUUUAAAUCAUAUGCUAGGCUCUUCAGGCUCAAGUGCCUGAGUUUCUCCACUAUCAAAUAAUGACCCAGGGAGAAUUUUUAAGAUAUCUUACAUUUCUUAGGAGAGAUUGCUUUUUGGGGUUUUAGAAGAGUUAUUCUGGGGAAGAACAGAAUCUUCCCAGUUUCACUAAACCUUUAGAUGUCUGGCAUUUCAUAAGUGAAAAGGAGUAUACUCCUGCCCUUCAACACUUCACCAAAAAGUGGCUAAGUGCUUGAAGUAUAUAGACUACCCUUUCAAGGAGAUAUAUUCACAUAUCUGUUAUUUUCAGGGAGAUGGCUUAUUAGGAUUUGGGAAUUUUUCUUCUUGAGAAGAAUGGAUUUGUUGCAGGUUCCCCCAAGUGUAAAAAUCCCUUUCUUUGUAAGUCAAAGGCUGCAGAAACCAAUUUUUAUAUAAUUCAGCCUGAAGGGAUUCGCUUCCAAAGGCAAAGAUCACCACAUCAAGGAUAUUCCUUGAUAUGUCUUCCAUUUCCAGUGAGAUAAAUCUUUUUAAUAUUGAGAAUUUUCUAACAUUGGAGAAGGAUAGCUUCCUUCAAUUUGGAGCCACAUUUUGAAAUCCCUGACUUCUUAAGUCCAAGGGUGUACACCUUUGGUUCCAUUGGGUAGCUUUAUCAAGUAGAACCCACCAGUUGAAUGAUAAUCCCUAAGAUGUCUUCAGGGAAGAGAUUGCUUUGUGCACUGAGCAUUUUGUCUGCUUCAAAGUACGUAAGGCUUUGCUGUUCCUGUCCAAUUUAGCAAUCCUAAGUUUGAGAAGUAAUAGUCUGAAAACUUAUUGUGAUUCAAUGUUCAUGCCAAAGGACCCUAGUUCCUGAAUGAGUGGCCUCCAUUUUCAGGAAAAUUUGGGGUGCUUUAUUCCCUGGGAGAGAUAGCUUUUUUAGAUUUUGGAAUUGUUGUUCUUCAGAAGAACAGAAUCUUUCCAGUUCCACUCCACACUUAGCUGCCCUGCCCUUCUUCAGUCAAAGGGGGGGGUAUACACUUGCCCUUAAAUACUUCAGCAACAAGUGGUUGGGUUUUUGAGAUAUAGACACCCUGUUUAAGGAGAUUUUUUUUGACAGAUCUUUUAUUUUCAGGGAGAGAUGGCUUAUUGGGAUUUGGGAUUUGUUAUUCUUGAGAAGAAUGGAUUCUUUGCAGAUUCUGCCAACUGUAAAAAUCCCUUUCUUUAUAAGUCAAAGGCUGCAGAAACCAACUUUUACAUAAGUCAGCUUGAAGGGACUCGCUUCCCAAGGUAAAGGUCACCACAUCAAAGAUAUUCUUUGAGGUGUCUUCCAUUUCCAGUGAGAUAAAUCUUUUUAAUAUUGGAAAUUUCUUCAUGUGGAUAAGAAUACCUAACUUCAACUUGGACCAAAAAUGUUGCAGUCCCUGACUUCUUAAGUCCAAGGGUGUACACCUUUGGAUGUAAUUACCUACCUGUAUCAAGUAGAGCCCACCAGUUGAAUAAUAAUCCCUAAGAUGUCUUCAGGGAAGAGAAUUCUUUGUGGCACUGAGCAUUUGGUCUCUUCAAAGUACAUAAGGCUUUGCCAUUCCUGUCCAAUUUAGCAAUCCUCAGUUUGAGAGGCAAUGUCAUGAAAACUGCUAGGGUUCAGUGUUCAAGCCAAAGGACCUUAGUUCCUGAAUGGGAGGCCUCCAUUUUCAGGAAAAUUUGGGGGGGUUGUGUAUUCCCUGGGAGAGAUAGAUUUUUGGUAUUUUGGAAUUGUUCUUUUGGAAAAGAACAGAAUCUUUCCAGUUCCACUCCAAACUUCGCAGCCCUGCCCUUCUUCAGUCAAAGGGGGUAUACACUUGCCCUUAAAUACUUCAGCAACAUGUGGUUGGGUUAUUUACAUAUAGACCCCCCCACUUUCGAGGAGAUUUUUUUGACAGAUCUUUUAUUUUCUGGGAGAGAUAGCUUAUUGGGAUUUGGAAUUUGUUCUACUUGAGGAGAGGGGAUUCUUUGCAGAUUCCGCCAAUUGUAAAAAUCCCUUUCUUUGUAAGUCAUGGGAUGCACAAACCAAUUUUUAUAUAAUUCAGCCUGAAAAGGCCCGGUUCCAAAUGUAAUGAUCACCCCAUCCAGGUUAUUCCUUGAGAUGUCCUCCAUUUCCAGGGGAAAUACAUCUUUUUAAUAUUGGGAAUUUCUUCAUGUGGAUAAAAAUACCUAACUUCAACUUGGCCCAAAAUGUUGCAGUCCUUGACUUUGUGAGUCCAAGGGUGUACACCUUUAGUUGCACUUGGAUAGCUUUAUGAAGUAGAGCCGAGCCCACCAGUUGAAUGAUAAUCCCUAAGAUGUCUUCAGGGAAGAGAUUGCUUUGUGCACUGAGCAUUUGAUCUUCUUCAAAGUACAUAAGGCUUUGCCGUUGCUGUCCAAUUUAGCAAUCAUAAGUUUGAGAGGUAAUAGCCUGAAAACUGCUUGCGGUUCGAUGUUUAUGCCAAAGGACCCUAGUUCCUGAAUGAGCGGCCUCCAUUUUCAAGAAGAUUUGGGGGUGUUUUGUAUUCCCUGGGAGAUAUGGGUUUUUGAGAUUUUGGAAUUGUUGUUCUUGAGAAGAACAAAAUCUUUCCUGUGAAGACAGUGUAUUUUAAAAUCAGCUAGAGUCAGGAAUUCAG